AUAAGACAUAGCUUGUGCAAGACCUCCUGACCCCAGCUUUCCUAUCUUCUCUUUUCUUUUCAUCUCCUGGUCUUCUUUCUCAGGAACCUGUCACCGAAGAAGGCCUUGCUGGUCCAGGUCAAUCUCCACAAUGUAUCUUCUGUUCUCUACAAAGACAGGCUCCAGGCUGUCAUUUUUGACUACAGCCAGAAGAGGCUGGAAACAGGACCCAGGGUUCCAGAGCUCCAGACGAGUGCCUCACAGAGCUACCUCUCUGAGCCCCCAGCCUGGGCUGGGCAGGGGAGGUUAAGGCUGGAGCUGCCUUGGCAGUUAGUGUUGGUCUUGCAGUUUCCAAAGGCCUUAGGAGUUCCUGGAGCAAAUGUUUCCUCUCCUAAGAACACUGUAGCAGAUUAAGGAAGGGGCGUGUCCCCACAGUAGCAUUAAAGAGCAGCAUCCAUUACCAAUGGUGGUCUAGCCUGGUAGCUAGAAUAACUCUCCUAGAGUUGAGCCUGUGUGAGGAUCUGGCUCUCCCAGCCCUGCUGGCCACAAGCUUGGCCAGGUU
rnacentral:lncRNA from 1 species